rnacentral:rRNA from 1 species
GGACUACACGGGUAUCUAAUCCUGUUUGAUCCCCACGCUAUCGUGCCUGAGCGUCAGAAACGAGCCAGUGAGCCGCCUUCGCCACUGGUGUUCUUCCCAAUAUCUACGAAUUUCACCUCUACACUGGGAAUUCCACUCACCUCUCUCGUCCUCAAGCUUCACAGUUUCAAUGGCAAUUCCGGAGUUGAGCUCCGGGCUUUCACCACUGACUUGAGAAGCCGCCUGCGCACGCUUUACGCCCAGUAAUUCCGAACAACGCUAGCCCCCUUCGUAUUACCGCGGCUGCUGGCAC